GUUGAAUGCAACAAAUCCCCAAAGCACAAGCCAACAGUUCCACAAAAAAGAAGACGAGAAGGCCAGCCACGUCUGCAGUUGCCAGGGGUUUGUGAAAAGAUAAAGAUAAAUGAGUCUGAAUAGCUAAGAGUAAUAGAUUAAUGGUUAAAAGACCAUAGAGUAUUAGAUAAAUAGUUGAAAAUGUUAGCUAAAAUGUACAAAUAAUAGCUUUAAAUUGAUAGAUAAUUGAAGAAAUCAUCUAAAAGGGAAUAAACUGGUCAAAAUAGCUUCACAACUAAUAGAUAAAUGGUUGAAAUAGCCAAAAGUAAUGGAUAAAUAGUUGUAAAAGUUAGCUAAAAAACUGAUAAAUAAUUGAAGAACACAUCUAAAAAAUUUAUAAAUUGGUCAAAAUAGCCAAAAGUAACAGAUAAAUGGUUGAAAUAGGCAAGAGUUAUGGAGAAAUAGUUGAAAAAGUUAGAUAAAAAUGUACAAAUAAUAGCAAAAAGAGUAUAAAUGAUUGAAGAAAUCAUCUAAAAAUUUAUAAAUUGGUUGAAAUAGCUCUAAAAGUAACAGAUAAAUGUUUGAGUCAUGUCGCCCAUCACCAGCUGAAAACAAUGGAGAAUAUUUAGGAAGUCUAACAUUAAACAGUGAUUCAGAUUCUGCAGCGCCUCCAUCUGGUGAACAAUGUGAUCGAAUGGAUCAACUGACCUGUGGCAUUAAUCCGGGUCGUGCGAGCAGCAGGCUUUGUAAAGUAUUCCAGACGUCUCCCGGUUCCUCCUGGAAGUCCCGAGGCGUUCCCGGUCCAGAUGGGAGAUCUAAUCCUCCCAGUGUGUUCUGGGUCUGUUCUGAGUCUCCUCCCAGUUGGACACGUCCAGAAAAACCUCCACAGGGAGAAGUUCUGAUCAGACGCCAAAACCUCGACUCGCCAACACGGACGCCUCAUAUGAGCUCUUUAUUUAAUCUGAGCUGUUCUGGAGCUUUUAAUCACCUGACAUGAUCUUCAUCAUCAGCCUCCCCAUCUUAUCUUCCUGCUUCAUGAUGUUUGUUUGGAGAUCUCCUGUUUUUUUUUUUUUUUCCUGUGUUUCCGAUGACAGCGAACACAUGUGAGCGCCGUGUGGACUCCACUCCAACAAAAUCCUCUUUACUCCCGCUAUCAGGAAG
rnacentral:lncRNA from 15 species